UUCGCCGUGCUCCUCCGCCCCUCCCCCCGCCCCUUACCCUGCUCCUGUCCUGUCCUGUGCAUCGUUCUCUCGCCCGCGUGGCGCUUCUUCAUUGCCGGCUGCUUCACUCUCGGCUGCCGCUGGCGCACCAGGUGUUGGCUCUUCUUCCACCGUUGAUGAGAUUAUGCAAGGCACUGAUGAAGUAAAACAUUGAUUUGGCAAAUUAUCAACAUAGGAUCCCCGGAGGCGCUGCAAGGAGGUGGUAGUGGUGGCAUCGCAGUGGAAUAAUGAUGCGGGAGCUUGUCCCCCAUCUCGGCGAGGUCACUUGUAGCGGUGUCAACGAGCUUCUGACAUUUUCUGCCCAGAUCCGUCGAAUCGAUGGGCGUUGCUUUCUCUAGGCGCAAUCUUCAUAGAGAUGGCGACAGUCGGCUAAGGGGCAUUUUGUGCCUCAACCCCAACUUCACCAUGGAAAGAUGGCUCUUGAUCUUGUUGUGCGGGUGUCGGGCAUGGUUCUGUGAGAUGCUGGCGGUUGCCGCUAGUGGAUUUUGCCGCUUGUAUAGGUGUUUUCUUCAUUGAUUUUCAAGUUGUGUUGUCGUCGGAGUGAUAAAGCGAUGAUCAGCCUUCCUUUCCCUUCGGCGUGAUGGUCCCUCUCGGAUCGAGGUUGAAGACUUCCAGCCCGCGUUCAAUCCGACUGCAGAUUCCAAGGUCACGCUGGCUCUGGAUGUGAGCUGUGGUGCGCCGAUAGCUUGCAGUCGAUGUAUCAAUUAGAUGGUUCCCAGGGGACCUAGUUGCUACGUUUCUUGUUUCUUGGUGUGAUUUGUGUCACUCCCCAGUUUCAAUACAUUCUGAGGUCUAUCGUGCGUUGGUGUCAGAUUUCUCAUAUCGAA